CGUUUGCCUGCGUUAACGAUUGAAGCGGCAUCCUUUUUUGGCUUUUUCUGCCAAAAAAGAUACAGCGGAAAGCGUGUUAAAAC
rnacentral:sRNA from 1 species